rnacentral:misc_RNA from 1 species
UAUACAUUCAAAUUUCUUUAUUAAUUUUUAAUAAAUAAUUUAUAUUAAAUAUMAAAAUGUAUUUAUAAAAAAAAAAGACGACAAGACCCUAUUAAAUUUUACUUAUAGUUUAGCUGGGGAAGCUUUUCAAUUAAAAUUUUUUAAAUUAAAUAAAUAAAAAUCUAAUAAAAUUAAAAUUUUAAUAAAUUACUAUAGGGAUAACAGCAUUAUAUUUUUUAAAAGUUCAUAUUAAAAAAAAKGAUUGKGACCYCSAUGUUGAAUUAUAUUUUCUAUAUUAAAUGCAAKAAUUAUAAAAGUAGAUCUGUUCGAUCUUUAAAAUAUUACAUGAUUUGAGUUCAAACCGGGGUAAACCAGGGGGGUUUCUAUCUUUUUAUAUAUUUUUCCRGURCGAAAGGACAAAAAAAUUUUUAUUUUAAUAAAUUAGCAAAUAAAUGCAUUAGAUUUAGAAUCUAAAUAUAUUUAAUAAUU